rnacentral:rRNA from 1 species
CGAGUGAGCGGCAAAGCUCAAAUUUGAAAUCUGGCGUCUUUGGCGUCCGAGUUGUAAUUUGAAGAAGGUAUCUUUGGGCCCGGCUCUUGUCUAUGUUCCUUGGAACAGGACGUCACAGAGGGUGAGAAUCCCGUGCGAUGAGAUGACCCGGGUCUGUGUAAAGUUCCUUCGACGAGUCGAGUUGUUUGGGAAUGCAGCUCUAAGUGGGUGGUAAAUUCCAUCUAAAGCUAAAUAUUGGCGAGAGACCGAUAGCGAACAAGUACAGUGAUGGAAAGAUGAAAAGAACUUUGAAAAGAGAGUGAAAAAGUACGUGAAAUUGUUGAAAGGGAAGGGCUUGAGAUCAGACUUGGUAUUUUGCAUGCUGCUCUCUCGGGGGCGGCCGCUGCGGUUUACCGGGCCAGCAUCGGUUUGGAGCGGCAGGAUAAUGGCGGAGGAAUGUGGCACGGCUUCUGCUGUGUGUUAUAGCCUCUGACGAUACUGCCAGCCUAGACCGAGGACUGCGGUUUUUACCUAGGAUGUUGGCAUAAUGAUCUUAAGUCGCCCGUCUUGAAACACGGACCA